rnacentral:rRNA from 1 species
GAUGAACGCUGGCGGCGUGCCUAAUACAUGCCAGUCGAGCGAACAGACGAGGAGCUUGCUCCUCUGACGUUAGCGGCGGACGGGUGAGUAACACGUGGAUAACCUACCUAUAAUACUGGGAUAACUUCGGGAAACCGGCGCUAAUACCGGAUAAUAUAUUGAACCGCAUGGUUCAAUAGUGAAAGACGGUUUUGCUGUCACUUAUAGAUGGAUCCGCGCCGCAUUAGCUAGUUGGUAAGGUAACGGCUUACCAAGGCAACGAUGCGUAGCCGACCUGAGAGGGUGAUCGGCCACACGGGAACUGAGACACGGUCCAGACUCCUACGGGAGGCAGCAGUAGGGAAUCGUCCGCAAUGGGCGAAAGCCUGACGGAGCAACGCCGCGUGAGUGAUGAAGGUCUUCGGAUCGUAAAACUCUGUUAUUAGGGAAGAACAAAUGUGUAAGUAACUAUGCACGUAUUGACGGUACCUAAUCAGAAAGCCACGGCUAACUACGUG